GAUGAACGCUGGCGGCGUGCCUAAUACAUGCAAGUCGAGCGAAUGGAUUAAGAGCUUGCUCUUAUGAAGUUAGCGGCGGACGGGUGAGUAACACGUGGGUAACCUGCCCAUAAGACUGGGAUAACUCCGGGAAACCGGGGCUAAUACCGGAUAACAUUUUGAACCGCAUGGUUCGAAAUUGAAAGGCGGCUUCGGCUGUCACUUAUGGAUGGACCCGCGUCGCAUUAGCUAGUUGGUGAGGUAACGGCUCACCAAGGCAACGAUGCGUAGCCGACCUGAGAGGGUGAUCGGCCACACUGGGACUGAGACACGGCCCAGACUCCUACGGGAGGCAGCAGUAGGGAAUUUUCCGCAAUGGACGAAAGUCUGACGGAGCAACGCCGCGUGAGUGAUGAAGGCUUUCGGGCCGUAAAACUCUGUUGUUAGGGAAGAACAAGUGCUAGUUGAAUAAGCUGGCACCUUGACGGUACCUAACCAGAAAGCCACGGCUAACUACGUGCCAGCCGCCGCGGUAA
rnacentral:rRNA from 1 species